rnacentral:rRNA from 1 species
UUUAUGGAGAGUUUGAUCCUGGCUCAGAGUGAACGCUGGCGGCGUGCCUAAUACAUGCAAGUCGAACGAUGAAGCUUCUAGCUUUCUAGAAGUGGAUUAGUGGCGCACGGGUGAGUAAGGUAUAGUUAAUCUGCCCUACACAAGAGGACAACAGUUGGAAACGACUGCUAAUACUCUAUA